UUAGGGAGUCAUUUUUUCUCUGCUUAAAGAAGAAGAAAAGACUACGGAUGGGUCCUCUGCACCCGUGCUUCUCACCGGCGUCACCUACUACAAACGGAGGUGAGGGUGAAGGCGACGACGACGACAACGACGCCUACUACAGAGGGAGGUGAAUUCGACGACGACGUUGCUGGGGUUCUCCACACCUGGGGUCUGUUAAAUUCGCCCAUUCCGUUCUUCCCUUCCGUCGAAGUCGAGACCCAACAAGCAUUGAAUCCUCUCUCUCUCGAAUCUCAAGCCUGAAAUCAUGGUUGAGUGUUUAACCUCUGAUUUUCGAGGUGACUUGACUGUUGUGCACAAUUUGGUUCACUCAGAUUAGAUGUGUUUGCACACAACAUUGAGAUUGUUAAACGACUUCAACAAAUUGUUCGAGAUCCUCGGGCUGGGUAAGCAGCGUCACUAAGUUUUUGCUUCUUAAAUUGUUGUUUUAAUCCCUCUUUUUUAUACCUUCUUUAUCUUCUAGUGUGUUUGGUAUGAAAUUUAGUUAUAAUAGUUAGAUUAUACUUCUAAAUCUCAACUACAUGCUACUUUUUGUAAUACAACAAUUUUUUAUUUAUUUGUUUCCUAAGAUCUCCUUUUUGUAUAUUGCUUGACUUGUCACAUUUCUUAUACUGACCCAAUUAUGGUUUGAUGAUUUUCAUUUCAUCUUUACUAUUGAUGUUUUCAUGCUUCAAAGAAUUAGCAGCAGUGAAGGGGGAUUCUCUAGGCUAUUCAUGUUGAUGCCAGAGAUGAUGGACUUUCUCAUUAUUUUAAAACUUAAAUUCGAAAAAAUGAAGCUAACAUCAGACCUCAGUCAAGUUAUAUUGAUGCCUUUAGAUUUUCCAUUAUCUAAUGACAACUAUGAAUGGUGUUCUUAUAAGCUAGAAAGACCAAGACUGUUCAAUAAGUCCUUUCUUUCUGGAACACUAGAUGUACCUUUAACUUGUAAAACCUUGACGUGAACCUUGUAUUUAGUCUCUGAACUGGUCUCAUGGUUUUAUGUAUUAUUAACUCAACCACUAAUUUAUUCUGAUUUUAAAGAAUAGAUAGGUGAAUUAAGUUUAUGGCUGGCGUAUCUAGCUAGCUUCAGUAAGGUGCCUCUGAUUAUACAGUCUUUCUAGAAGGAUUGCUCCCUGGAUUUCAUAUUUUUCUCUACUAGUUGAGAUUACUUCAUUGGUGCAGGUAUGAGCAGAGCUUAUCCAUUUUGAACACAUGCAAAGGUCAAUAAGGAGGGUAUGAUUACAAAAUCUUCCAUAAUGCUGGGUCUCGGAGAAUGAGAUAAUGAGUUGAAGGAAGCCAUGGCUGAUUUGAGGGCUAUAGAUGUUGAUAUAUUGACCCUUGGGAAAUAUUUACAACCAACUCCAUUACAUUUGAAUAUCAAAGAAUAUGUCACCCCUGAGAAGUUUGCUUUCUGGAAGUAAUAUGGAGAGUGUAUAGGAUUCUGUUAUGUAGCCAGUGGGCCAUUGGUAAGAUCUUGUACAGUUGGUUUAUUUAUGAAUCUGUUAUGUAGCUAGUGGGCCAUUGGUAAGAUCUUGUACCGUUGGUUUAUUUAUGAUCAAGACCCAAUUCCCUUUACACAAGCUAAAGAAAAAGAGGAUUUCACCAACUUGUCCACCAACACAAGACCCACAACAUCCUCCACAACAACUUCCCACUAUUCAAGAAGAGGCAGGAUCAAGUAUGGCUAGUAAGCCACCAAUUAUCUUCAAGUGUGGUGGGAAGAAUACAUAUACACAGCGAAAUUAAUGAAACUCGAAAUGAAUGGGCAGCCAAGCUUCUUGAGCGGAUGAGUCAUAGCUAGAGUAACUUUUGAAAUCUAAUUGUAGUUUUUAGUUAGCACUUACAUGAUUAUUGCAAGUGUAUUUUAAUCUUAUAAUUUUUAGAUUUGGAACACACUGAGUUCUAUUGAUUUUGUUUGCGUGUUGAUUCUGUCUAAACUAUGUUGUAAUUAAUAUAGUGGUUGAAAAUAGAGAAAUAAAAAAAUUCUCAUAUUUUACAUGGGACGUCGGUCUCCGCAAAACU